AUGUUCCAGGGUGCGGAGGGCGAGGCUGGCCGAGGGGGUUCCAGGUCCGUGAAACCCCCAGGAGGAGAAUCGAGCAAUAUUUUUGGAAGUCCAGAAGAAGCUGUUCCUUCAAACCGACCUAAUAGGAUGGCAUCUAAUAUUUUUGGGCCAAAUGAAGAACCUCAGAAUAUACCCAAGAGGACAAACCCCCCAGGGGGGAAAGGAAGUGGUAUCUUUGACGAAUCAAUUCCUGUGCAAACCUGACAACGUAUGAACCCACCUGGUGGGAAGACCAGUGAUAUUUUUGGGUCCCCGGUCACUGCCACUUCACCCUUGGCACACCCAAACAAACCCAAGGAUCACAUUUUGCUGUGUGAAGGAGAAUCACCGAAAUCUAACGUUAAAGCUGUAACAAGUGCCUCGCCCCAAGAAGAACCCAGUGAGAAGGGCAGCUCCAGAGAAAAAGACCAUGCCAAGGCACCUGAGCCUACACCCACAGUCGAUAGCCAUGAGCCCAGGCUGGGCCCACGGCCUUGCUCCCACAAUAAGGUCCUGAAUCCACCAGGAGGCAAAUCCAGCAUCUCCUUUUACUGA